GGCCUGGGCAGCAGAGCCAGAUCUGUCUCAAAAAUAAAAAACAAAAAACAGAAGCUUUAAGAGAUUUUUAAAUUCAUUUUUACUUUUUUUCUCCUUCAUCUACCCAAGAUUGUACUCCGUGAGGGGGUUUUUGAAGUAAAUUUCAUGACAGCACAUUAUUCAGCAGUGAGUUUCGGACCAUAUGUUCCCAUUUUUACAACUUUUGUGCACCCUAGGGUGUUUUCCCCUAGGAAAUUGUUGUUAUAUUUCACACAUGCAAAAAUAAACGCCAGGUGAUGUGAGGGGCACCCACACCCACCUUCCCGCUGAGAAAUGCAGGCCGCCCCCAAGGGGAGCCCUCAUCCUGCAGGUUUCCUCCCGAGUCCUGGAAUUCUAAAAUGCGCUCCUUGCACCUGGGACUCUUCCUGCCAGCUCCACUGGGGAAAGCUCCUCUCCACCUCCCCUGCUCCCUCCGGGCCUCUCACGGCUCCCCCCGCCCCUCCUCUGCCCCAGGGCCUGUGCUCCUACAUCCCGGCAAGCCGCAGCCCCGACACUUCCUCCUAAUUUCCUGACACUCCCCACUCCCUGGCGGGACGUUUUACUCCUUGCUCUCCUUCCCACUGGAGGGCGCGCGCUUUCUAGCUGGCCGCGUGGGCAGGCACUCAGAACCCCUGAGCCCAGGGAGCUCCCAAGGGUCUCACUCUCCUCUGCGGUCUUUGCUGGCCGAGGGCAAGGCCGGGUGAGGACGGAGAGAAGCAGCUCCUCCCCACCACACACCCAGAGCUGGGAGGGGCCAGGAUUCAGCACCCUCUAGGGGUGGGCACGGCAGACGCGGUGGGGACCUGGCGCUGAGGUCCUGGCUCCCACUCCAGCGUGGCCUGGUGGCUUCUCCCCGGUUGGGGUACCCUGCACAGGGGUUGUGGUGCCUCCCAAGGGCCAGCCCCGCCCUGACAACCUCUCCUCCAGCCAGGAUGGGGUCCAUACUCCAUCGAGAGGGUUCCUGGCUUCAACACCCUCCACCAGCCUCAUGCCACCAGGGCCCUGGUCAUCCUGGGGACCCUGCAGAGGGCCUCCUGGGCCUGUCUUCCGGCGGGUGAGCCGGCCCUGCCUGUGGGUGUCUGGGGUGUGGCCUCCAGGCACCAAGCACCCGCUGGCUCCUGAUACCUGCCUUUCUGGCUGUGGUGUGUCUCUGGCCUGGCGCCUGUUUCUGAGUCCCUGGAGAGAGCAGGUUCCUCGCAGGUGGCAGGCAGCCCUGUUUGUGUGUGCAUGAGCCUGUGGGGGCACCUGGAGCUGAGCGGUGGCCUGUGCUGUCACCACCCGGGGUGGCAGGGCAGGGUCUGGCACUGCCACAGCUCCUGACAGAAGCUGCCUAGGCCUGGGUUGGCUCGGGCUUCUCGGCCAGGCCCUUCCCCAGCACUUCCUGCCCAGCCCCAGCUGCAGGACCUGCUGAAAUCUGUGCUGUGGGAGCCCUGUCUCUGAGGGGUCACUGCAGUGACUCCAGAAAACCUGAGUCUCCUGAUUCCAGGAGCACCGCUUGCAGCCUGCCACGUGCAUGACCCAGCAUGACCCGGACUCCUGAGCCAGGACCGAGUCCCCCUGACAGCGGGGAAGCGGCGGACCCUGGGGGCUGGCACCCGCCGUGGCCCUCCCCAGCCCACUGUGGCACUGAGGGGCUGCUCCCCUGGGAAUGGCCCCUUCCUAGAGGCAGCCCUGGCCUGGCUUCGAGAGGGGCUCUGGGAACAGGCGGCCCCGGGUAGCUGACCACACCUGACCAGGCCAGUCUUUGGGAAGCCGCCCUCUCAGCCUAUGCACUGCAGGGACACUGGGUGGAGAGGGCUGUGCCUCAGUGCCCCUGCAGGGCGGUGCAGCAGCUGGCCGUGCAGGGGGAGGGGGCCUUGCCUUCUGGCUCAGGGAGGAAGCGGCUGCUUUCAGCUGCCUUCGCCUUGCCUCCUGAGGCGGCUUUGGAACCCUCCUGAGGUUUGUGGCCCUGAAGUUCCUUCCUGAGACCCCGCAGGGGACUAAGCCCUCGGCCCAGGGGCACCGGGGAGGGCAGAACCUCAAGACAGGGGCCCGGGACACAGGACAGAGUGUGUGGGGCAGGUGUGCAGGCUGUGCCCAAGGGGCCUCGGGGUUGAAGGGGCUCUUGGAGAUGAUGUCGACAUCGCGGUUCCUGAGCGGGUGCCCAGAUCUGGAUGAGCUGUUUUCUGGAGAAAGCAGGAAAGUGACGUCAUUUUGUGGCUUCAGAUUGACCGCAGCCUGGCAGAGAGGGAGUGGUGGCAGGAAGUGAAGCUGCUGGCUUCCCAGUCACGGCCUCCAUGAUCCACGUGUGGCAGCAAGAAUCACAGCUGCAUCAUGACACCCAGAGGGAAAGCAGCUCAAGCUGCAGUUUAAGGCGACUCCACGGAGGGCCCUGGCUUAGUUGUUGCACAGCAUGGGGUCAGAUGGAUGCCCUGGAAGAGUCAGCAGAGACCCCCUGGCCUUUGGAGUUUGUCUCUGAGCGAGAGACACUGUUGGGAUGACCGGCGAGUGGCGUUGGGUCCACAUGGGGGCCCUGGUCCGGCUGAGUCUACUGAGCACAGGCCUGCCCCUUGCCACCCAGCUCUGCCCAUAUGUGGCCGUCAUUCCUGGGCUUCACCUGGGAAACGUCCUUUGAGGCAGCUCAGCUUUUCCACAGUGGGUCACGUUGUUUGCUGCUGGAGACUGGCUGAGUCUGUGCUUCCAGUAUAGGAAGGUUUAGGAGGCGGUCAGCAGGCCUCUCCUGUGGCCACUGUGCCCGAGGCAGGUGCCUGGGGUGAGAGGGAUUCUUCCGGAUGUGGCCGUGCACUGCCCAGCAGGCCUGGAGUGAACGUCUGUGUGGAGUCCGGGCUCCCAUCCAGCAUCCCUUAAGGGUCCUGAUGGCUGGAGCUGGGGGAGGCAGGUAUGGCAAGGGGCUUCCUGCACGCAGGAAAACUGGAGACCCCUGGUGAAAGAGCCAGGUGUGCACCUGCAGAGCCAGGCAUGGGUCCACAGAGCCUGUCAAGCCUGGUUUACACCACAGAGCUGGGUAUGCGCUGAGAACCAGGUGUGCACGGAGAGCCAGGUGUACACUGCAGAGCCGCGUGUGCACUGAGAGCAGGUGUGCGCUGAGAACCAGGUGUGCAGAGAGAGCCAGGUGUGCACGGAGAAUCAGGUCUGCAGAGAGAGCCAGGUGUGCGCUGCAGAGCCGGGUGUGCAGAGAGAGUCAGGUGUGCGCUGCAGAGCCGGGUGUGCACUGAGUCAGGUGUGCAGAGAGUCAGGUGUACACUGCAGAGCCGCGUGUGCACUGAGAGCAGGUGUGCAUGGAGAGCCAGGUGUCUGUUGAGAACCAGGUGUGUGCAGAGAGCCAGGUGUGCACUGCAUAUCUAAGUGCUCAUGUGGAGUCUUGGGCUGGGCAGGUGCUGCCCAGGACCCUGGCUCUCUGGCUGUCUUCUGUGCAUUUGGGGAUGGGAGAAGGGGCUCGGCUCUGGCUGGAGGGCAGCCAGGCAGACUUGCCAGCCAGCACCGCCAGGUGAUAAGAGCUGGUGCCCACAGGUACUCAGCAAAUGUCUGCAUUUUGGGGAGGGCUGGAGAAAAUGAAGGCCAUGCCCUCUCUGCAAGGCUCCGCACAGGCCCUGUUUCCCAGUCCUUCAGCCACAGGGUGUCCCGGCAACAAGGGUGCCAGGUCGCCUGCACCCUGACUGUCUCCUGCGGAAAGGACAGCGCCUGCUCCUUGUCCUCCAGUAGCUGCUGGACUCCGGGGUCUGGGUGCUCUGGCGCCCGGCGGCUGGGUCCCCACUACAAGGUAGACACCAGCCUUGAAUCCAACUGUCGAGGAAAUGGGGUGGGCGGCGGAGGCUGGGGAGAUCGGGAGGAAGGGAGGUAUGGGCUUGAGAGACAGGAACCCACCCUCUGCAAGUGCAGUGGCCUGUCCCCUCCAGAACGCUCUCAUUCUUCGUGCUGAAGGGAGCUGGGGGCGUGGCAGGCCUGCGAGACGAAUGGGCGCUAUCAGCUCAGGGCUCUGCCUCGGAGGAGCCACCCGGAGGCAGCACCCAUGGGUGUGGGGGCUUGGCCACAGGGGACGUCAGGCCUCCUCGGUGCAGCACCAGAUGCGUCUAACAGCCUCCGCCCCGUGGGCGCCCACUCAGACUUGCUGCUCAGGUGCCUAGAGCAGAAGCCACCUCCUCAGAGGCCAGCGCGCCAGCCUGGCACCACGGGGACGCUCCCAGGGGGUGCCCAGAGGGAACGUGCGCAUCGGGCGGGGUACUGCGGCGCGUGUGGGCCGUGAGCCCCGCCCUGUAGUCGGACACUGGAGUCCCGGAUCCUACAGAUCUGAAAGGCUGAGUCGGAUGCAGCAAAGGCGAAGCGGGGUUCGCAGCCCCAGACUCUUGGGCGGGGGGGUCAGCGAGCAACCGGGAGGGGCGCCGCGGGCCAUUCGCCGCUUCUCCUGGGCCGAGGGCGCAGG
rnacentral:lncRNA from 1 species